CAGGUCCUGCCCAGUGACAACAAGCCCAGCCCAAGACCCCUCUCCCAUAUAAACCCCUCUUCCCACAGCUGUGCAGCAGAAGGUGCUGGACGGGGCACAGCGGUUGAGAGAUACUGCUGAAGAGACAUUCCUUUAUUUUCUGAUGAUCCUCCAAACCUGCCUGUGCUGUUCCCUGAUGUGCCAGCAGCUGGGAUUGGUAGUCCAUCACCGCCUGGCUAUAAACUUCAGUUGGACUGUGAGGUAAGGACAAGCUUUGCUCCUCAGGAAGAAGCCCCCCAGCUAUGCAGCCACCUUAUCCUUGUGACCUUGUGUGUCACCAUCUGCCAUGGGUUCACAGGUGAGAGCUAUUUCCUUUUCUUGGAGAGAUGAGUUUAAAGGUGAAGCUGAUUGUUGUCAUGUGUUUAUUGCUAUUGGUUUGUUGUACCCAUGUGGAGCUUACUGCAGUGUUAUCCUGUUCAUAGCUAUUCACAAUUCCCCUUUGGUGUUUCAAAAAUUCCUUCUGGAUAAGUUCUUUAUGAUGCUGCUUAGGGCAACUUUUUCCAUUUCUGAUGAGUAGUGAUCCUCUUCUAGGUUAAAUGACUGACAUAUGACAUGGAUGGCAGUUACUUUGAUUUAUAUUAUCAAAGGGAAGGUUAAAAAAUUGAUUUGAUGUAUGUUUUGUAAACAGAACAUUAUGGGAAGGUGGAAAAUUUUUGCUGAAAUGUUCUUUUGUUUUGCUACAUUGUGCAGACCUUUUAAGAGCAGUCUUUGGAAGCCUUCUGAAGAUAAGGGGCUGGAUGUAUUUGUGUUGUCAGCUGUCCCAUGUGGCAGUGCAGGCUGGUGGGAUGGAAGAAGGUCGGUCACCUGCAGACUCUGAGGUUUCAUGAUGACCAAACCAACUGAGCUACACGUGCGAGUCUGUGAUUUGCUUGCAGAGAUCCGGAGUAGCAGAAGGAGCAUUUCAUAGGAUACGAGCCUGCUUUUUAAGUCUCAUUUUUUCAGUUUUUCAUAACCAAACAUGCUGUUUUAGGACAAGUGGA